GUAACGAUUACGUUGUUUUCUGACGCUGACUGCCAAUACAAAGGGUUGAAAAAAGGUCCUACUGGCAGGCAAGCCUGCCGAGGAAACAAUGGGUGCGCAAAAAGCAAGGGUGGGGUUCAGGGGGAGGCUCGAUCAGCGUCAGGAGGACGUACGUCUACCCCGUCAAUCCGCUGCCAGCCAGCAGAACCGGACAUCCACUGGCUGUCCUUUCAGAAAGCCUCCCGCCGUGGCCUUUCGUGUAAUGAUCCUUCCGCAGGUUCACCUACGGAAA
rnacentral:misc_RNA from 1 species